ACCUGACUGGCUCAGUCGGUAGAGUGUUUGACUUGCGAUCUUGAGAUUGUAGGUUCAAGCCCCAUUUUGGGCA
rnacentral:tRNA from 1 species